rnacentral:rRNA from 1 species
GACGAACCGUGCGAACGUUGUUCGGAAUCACUGGGCUUAAAGGGCGCGUAGGCGGGUUGCCGCGUCCGGGGUGAAAUCCCACGGCUCAACCGUGGAACGGCCCCGGAUACGGGCGGCCUGGAGGGGGGUAGGGGCGGGCGGAACUCUGCGUGGAGCGGCUGAAAUGCGUUGAUAUGCAGAGGAACUCCGGUGGCGAAGGCGGCCCGCUGGACCCCAUCUGACGGCUGAGGCGCGGAAAGCCCAGGGGAGCGAACGGG